UGGUCAUCUCUGACCUACAAACUGCCUCUCAGAAACCCCAGAAAUGUGAAUUUCCUCAUCUGUGGUUGAGUUACCUGGGGAGCAUUAGCAGAGUCCGCUGACCUGACCCUAAGAUGGGAAGUUUAUUUCCAGGCCUGGCUCAACCGAGUGCCCUCUGCUGCCAGCCAUCCACGCUCUCUUCACCUGCCUGGGCUCACAGCUCUAGGAGGGGCUGGCUGGCCGACACCCACCCAGAGUGCAAGAUCAUCCAACAAGAAACCAGAGCUUUCAAGACGAAGGACAGAAACGUUAUCUGUAUUUCAGGGGUAGUUUUUGCUUUCCCAUACAAGCACACGGGUACUGGCAUGAGAACUACUUUGGAUUUCAGAUUUUCCUCUUCCUCCUUUAAAAGCCCCUGUCCCUGAAGAUGAACGAUGCCCUAUCUAUCUCGAAGAAUUCCACUACUUAAUAGCCUUGCUCCUGGAAAUUUCGGAAAGAUUCCCACCCCCACCCACCCCCCAUUUUUGUGGAAAUCUCCAAGGCUGACGUAUUUCUACAGAGCUCUUGACUAAUUAACAGCCAUAACUCAUAGAAAUAAGGAAAACAAACACUGACGGAUUGAGCCAAGAGUUAUCCCCCAGUUUCAAAUAAUUGAGUCACUGCAGAAGAAACAGUAGUUGGGGAAAAAAAAACACUCAAAGGGUCCCAAAGUAGAGGACUGGGACCCUGAACUUGGGUUUAUCAGGUGCCCACUUUGUACGCAUCACAGCCCUGAGAGACUUUCAUUCAUCCACAGCUGCCGCUGCUGCGCAUGCCCAGCUCAGGGAACGAUCUGGUAAAGAGGCAGGCGAGGAGGGAGGAAAGGGGGCCAGAGAAGUAAGCGUGCCCACAACCGCAGCUAGCUUAGAGUCUCCUGUGUAGACUGAAAAUGUCUGACAGAAGCCAGGCUACUGUCCUGACUGGGGAUGUCAGGGUUCCUCCCUUCAUCCUGGAACAGAGCUGGAGACAACGAAACCUUGGCCUUCAACGGCAACUGCAGGUGGGGACACAAGAGCCUAGGAUCUGAACAGGUGACAGCAAAUGGAGUUGCAGUAGGCCAUGGCUGGGACAGCACAGGACCCUUUCUCAGGCAAGCAUCUUAGGCAUAAUAAAAAAAGUAAUCAAGUGCCCGGCAGAGAUACCAGGCUCCCACCCAUCUUUCUGCCCUAGAGCAAUGGAGCCUGAUGUGUGAGCCAGAGGAGACACCUCAGCAGAAGGCCCCCUGUCACCUUCCACAGAGGUCACAUGCCUGUCACCAGGUCCUGGUGGCUGGUGUCCAUGCACUUGGUGAAGCACAGACACACAACCAGAAAGCAACACCUGAGGCCACAAUGGGCGUGUGAGGCUCCGGUGGUCUUUGGAAGAAGGGAUCUGACCCAAGACCUUCUGUCCCCUGCCCCCUCUCAGACCUCAAAGGUCAAGUCAGACAACUAGAGAGCACCUGCUGAAUCUUCCUUCCAUCAUGGCUUCCAGGAGAAGAGCAAGCCCUUGACUUGAACAAGAUGUUGACCGGAACCGCCUUGAGGCAAGCUCAUGAGGUGGCAAGAGCCUUGGGUAGAGGCAGAUGUGGCUUCAAAUCAAAUUCCCAAGAGCAAGUGCAGAGUGGUCGGUGCCUCCCUGGCUCAAAUGUCCUGGGACAGUGGCCUCCGUUCUGGGGCUGCACCUCAGGUUUCGGAGACAGAGCAGCCACAGAAAGCAGCCUGCUUUAUCGGCAGCCUGCACAGCUCUCCAUUGCCAUGGCCCCUCACCCUGGCAUUCCGUGCCUCCCAGGGGGGCAGAUAAUCCCACAAAGGGCCUCGUGCCAGAGUCUGGACACUGGAAAGUGCUUUCUCCAGCCUGGAGUCUUUGGGUUUGCUGGAAUCUUCUUACUGGGCCCCAGGGUUCAGAUCGAAUAUCCCUUUGAAAGGGUCAGAGGCAACCCCCGUGCUCUGCUUGGUCUGUCUGACACCAGAUCUAGCGGUCUAUGAUUGAGGAGGACAGCCCCCCUCGACAAACCAGCCUCCCCAAGACCAUGGUCCCUGUAAUGAGAGGAGGAAAAAAGGAGGGAAAGGCCCGUAUCAUGUCCCAACAAAUGCCAACACCUUCUCCCUCAGGAAGCUCCUCUUGCUCUGUCCACAGCCUCGCGGGUAUAGAGACCCUGGGAAUGGCUGACCCUCCCUGAACAAUAACCCUGUACAUUUGACAGAAUGGUCUCCCGCAUCAGGUUCACGCCAUUGUGUCUCUGUAAGGUACUCUGAGCAUUAUGUGCAUGGCUGUGCCUUGCAUUCGUCACAGUAGUGAAUGCAUGUGCUGGCAUGUGUCUCACAUGUACAAGCAUUCACAAGUGUGCACAAGUGUGAACACAAACUGACUGCCAAGGAGAUAGUAAGCCUGACACACAUGACACAAGCCCAGGAGGGAGACUGGAGGGACAGAGGCAACACCAGCAAAACAUACCUCCUGAGCCCUUGGAACACAGAUGACAAGUGACCCCUGAAGGAAGGAUGCAGGCCUAGAGCUUUGGGCCCUGCUCCUCCUCUCAGGGAUGCUAAAGGCCACCUCCUUUCUGACUCAGUGGUAUCUGCCCUGGUACCGGGUGUCCCCGAGAAACUGCUGUACCUCAGCAAAAGGCUGACACGGUACCCAUGGUCUUCUGUGGAAGCAUGAAGAACCUUGUCUGGGAUGGAUCCCAAUCCAACAGUGAUGCCUUUCCUGCCAGCCCCACACUCAUGCCAACUGUCCACAGCAUGAAUGGUGGCCUUCCAAUGUCUCCUUCCAUGCCAGAGCCGAGCUAACACAGGCACAGGACAUUGGGUUUCUAAGCAUCAGCCAGCAGAUCACCCCUCAUGGGAUGGUUCUGGAGACUCAGUGUGUCUCUGUUCUUUGAACUCUACUCACCAAGUGCUCUUGCACAUGUGUGUUAGCAUGGACGUGAAAUUCAGGGAGGUACCCCAAUUCUGUCUACCCACAUGCAUACACACAUAUACAGAGUCACAGAGUCAGUCACACACAGACACAUGCAAAUACACACACACUCACACCAACACACACACAGUCAUACACUCAUGCUGUCAAACAAAUACACACUCACACAAACACACACAUAGUCACAUACACAGACAGUCAAACACAUAUAGUCACACACUCACACAAACACUCAUACGCAGUCUCACACACACAGUCAUACACAUAUACACUCUCACACAAACACUCUCAGACACUCACACUCUCUCACACACACAAACUCACACAGUCAGACAAACACACACAGUCACAGUCUCAUAUACACACAGACACACAGACACACACAUACCUCCCCUUAGCCAAAGAGUGUUCCAGAAAGCCAAAAUAGCUACUAACAAUGACAACCUGGCACCCGAGGACAAGCACUGAUCAAGUGUUCUGGCCAUUACCACAGCAGGCAGGGCCUAGCCAGGCUCUGUCUGAGCCAAGUGCUAUGCAGGCCUCUGCAGCCUCUUCCAUGAUUCCUCUGUAUUGUUCAGAUAGGUCAUACCCCAGGCAGAGAUGAGCAUCUGCUCCUAGGGAAGAGGAAAGAAGAGGGUACGAACGUCACUUCUAUGGAGUACUGGGGCACCAGCUCAUUCACACACACCCUCUGCCCUGGUGCCUCUCGAUGCUAGAGUAAGGGCAGAGAUGGUGAGUCUGAG
rnacentral:lncRNA from 1 species